GUGACCCGCUGCAGCCCUGGGAACCUGGGUACCAUGCCAGAGCUCUUUGCUCCUCCACAAAGCCCUUUUGGUCAGGCACUGGACACUCCUUACUGGCUCCCUCUCCUGCUUGGCUGAGCUCUGGUUGCUGGGAGCACUCACACACUCCUGGGAGAGGGGUCCCUGUCUUCUCUCCUUCCAGCUUCUGUUCCUCUCACUUUCCCUUGGAGGAACUGUCAGAACCUUCCAUAUUUGCCAGGAGGGAGACCCAGUGCCCCUGCAGCGAGGACGGAGCCAGCUCCCCGAGGGUCCCGUUGAAGACUGUUCAGAUUCCUCCUGUCCUUGCUCCGGUAGAAGUGGGCGACCCUGCCCCAGCACCCCAGGCGUGCUAGGCCCAGGCCCUGCUUCCUGCAGAGCAGGACAGAGGUGGAGCAGGUCUGCAAGCCAGGUGUGUCUGAAGCCGGGCCACUCUUCCUCGGGGGUCCUGGUGCUGAUAGCAGAUGGUGACAACAGAUACUGUUCAAGCAUCCUGGACAUGUUCUAACCUCACAGAUAAGGUGGGCCCUGAGACAAGAAGACAACACCAGGGCUGCAGCUGGCGGAGGAUCUGACAUGGAGCUUGUACCAGGGAAGAAAAGAUAAGGCCGGUGUGAACGGAGACGCUCUGGGGGCAGAACUACUGCAGGGAGGGACACAGGACGCCUGCCUCCAAGUGUGGGUACUUGUAGAAAAGAAAUUAAAGAGGAAAAUCUUAAUACUGAGUCACGAAGCUGUGCAGCUCUCUUGCUUCCUACCUGAUGCUAGGGCUUGUGACGAUGGGAAUAUAAAGAGGUAUGAGACGCACGGGCCCUGCUUAGUCAAUGGUGGCAGCUGCAGACAGCGGACUGUUAGACGGUCAUUACCAAGGAGGGUGCAGAUCGUGUUGAGAUGGAAAGAUGCUGACCUUCCAUUUUGUGGAGUAGAGAUGGUCACAGAGCCACAUACAGAGGCUGACCGUUUCACGAUAGCAGAUGGUGACAGCAGAUACUGUCAAGUGUCCCUGGACAUGUUCUAACCUCACGUGUGUGUGUGCAGGGAGAGACGGAUGAAGGACGCUCAUCGCUGUGUUAACCACAGCGGUCUCUGCUGGGAUUUCAAGUUAUUUUGUACUUUUCAUUUCCAUUUGUUAUAAGGAGCACCUGUCCUUUCUGGAGCCUCCCAAAGCUAUUUUCCCUUAAAUGCAAAGCGCAGACUCUUCACUUGCUCUCCCUCUCGCUGCCAUCAUUGCUUCCCCUGCCUACAACUGUAGAUCCUGGGACGAGGGGGACGGGGCUUCCCACACGGGUUGGGUGACGAUGAAAAGCAAAUACAAAGACACAGACUUGUUCAGUACCUGGUAGCGUCCUCUCUAACCCAAGCUGCCUGUAACAUCUUCUCCUCCAAAAGGAGUGACAGAGGCCGAAUCGCUGACUCUGGUUUGAAGCCUAAAUCUUAGCAGUGAGUGGCUGAGAUCAAGGCCACUGUGUCAGGCCGCUCCUGGGUACUCCUGAGACUACAGUGUGUGACCCCUAGACGUUUUAGGAAUAGUACUGGCAGCAACACAGCGGCCCUGCUGGGGACAUCAGCCUUACAGACAAAGACUGUGUCCUCAUUUGUUACAUAGUGGAGACCAUCAUUCAUCUUGAGGGUGGCGAGGAGAAUGCCUUGAGAUCAGAAUGGGAAGGACCCAAAGCAGAGCCUGGCACGUGGAGGAGCCCCAGCAAUGGCCGUUCCUUCCCCUGGGGAGGGGAAAUCCUCCAGGUGGACUAGAAAGGCAUGGAUUUGAUGACUUCCCUACAUUAAAAUCAGUUUAAGAAGUUUGUUAACUUAGCUUUUUGGAGCUGCUGGUGCACACACAACCCCCACCUGAGCCCUGCCAUGAAAGGCUGCCACACUGCCUCAGAGGGACUCCUAAGUGGACGGACACAGCCACCAGCUCCCACGGGCAGAUCAGUGUGCACUGGUAUCAGACGGCUUUCCAGAAGCCCCCAGGAGGAUAGUGGUAUUUUAAAUGCUUUGUGCUCUUGCAUUGUCAGCUAGUACCUUGACCUUUAGUGCGCGGAUUUGACAAUUUCCAGCCCUAGACUGAGGUGAAUGAAAGAGACCAAAUGGAGGCGGAGAAGGGCACACUUGAUACUAUUCUUGGGACAUUGGCUUCGAGGAAAAUCCAGAGAGAGAUUCUCUUGUCAACAGAUAAGAAACUCUCUGACGGAAGAAAUGGGCCAAACAUUGUGAUUUGUUAGAUGCCAGUUACUGCCAGCUCGUGCUGCUCCAGUGUAUGGUAUGUGACAGGCCCUGCUGUGAGACCCCCUCGGACACAGCUCCUUUCCUCCUCACAGGAGGUCUGUUGCCAUCCCAUAACCAGGUGAAGAAACCUGUAGACCCUGUCCAGGGUCACACAUCAGCAGUCAGCGCAGAAGCCACUUCAUGAGAGCAGUGACAACUGCUGACGUAGUGUCCUGGCUUAUGCAAUGCUUCUCAUGUGUGACAGCUCAUUGUCACACUUGCCCUGAGUGAUGGGUGUUUGUUUCAUGGUACAAAUGGAGAAACUGCAGCUCCGGGGGGGUAGGGGGGGUGGGGAGUUUGCUCAAAGCACCAUAGUUGAUGAGGCUCUUGGGUUUUCAGAACCCGGGCCUGAGCAAUUUUUGUAACUCAGGGGUCUGUGAGUUCUUUACGAACAAAAUUGUGUUUUUAAUGAAAUAAAUAAAGGAGAAAAAAAUCAAGAGAAAAUGGAAUAUUUUGGCAAUGAGAAUUUGCAACUUGAAAGAAGUUUUCACAGACCAGCCUUUGAUUUUUAAGUUGUACUUUUCAGUACUUUGGGGGUGAGUAGUGAUGAAAAUGAAAAAGGGGGCCCAUUCAUCCCCAAAUUUGAGAAACAGUGGGCUAUUACCAGGCCCUUUCACUUGGUGCUAAUGUGUUUUUGAAGCCUCAUUUUCUCUUCAAAUACAUUUCCGUCUGGUUUUCAUAUGGCUUGAUCUUUUCAUAUAGUUUUUGUUAGACGCUUCAGGUGAUCCGGCAAAGUUGAGCUAAGGCUGAGCUGGCUCCAGAUGGUUGCUAAGGAGUCGCUCCGCACAGACCAGGACCGAGCUGCAUGUGUGACGGCCUCAUGCUGAGGCCAGCAGGCUUGUGCCCAGCUGAUCUUUCUUCUGGUGCGGCCAAUGGCUGAGGAGCACCAAACUCCAGAGGGCCAGACCGGCCAGGUGGCAGAAGACCCGUGACAAACGCUGGGCAGUCACCAGGAAGCUGAAGCUUCCAGUGCAGAGCCUCUGACAUCUGGUGACGCUUUACAACUUCUGCAGCUUCACACAGGCCACAGGAGACACCAAACAAAGGCUGGGAAUGAGCUGGAAAGAGGCCAUCUGAAUCUUGCCAUGAAAUAAUGGCUGAUAACCAUCAGAAGGCUGCAAGUUCCUAGGCAAUUUCUUUUUAAAAUCUUUUUCUAAAUUGUCAUCUUUUAAAACAGACUUUCCACGUGUGUGCCUCUUUUGCUGUUUUGCAAAGGGCGUUCUUGUACGUUAUGUGUUUCGGCCCAUUUGGGUAACUAGGACAGCUGAGAAGGUCGAGGCCCCGAGGCUCUGUGGACCCACGGGUGUAACAGCUUGCGUGGUGUACGCUUUAUUAGUUUGAUAGUUUCAUUUUUAUAGGAAAAUAAGCAUAAUUGAGAAGUAGCUGAAUUCCCUAA